AUGCUGGAGGUAUCAGAAGUGCGAAUGCUGACAUAAGUAACGAUAAAGCGGGUGAAAAGCCCGCUCGCCGGAAGACCAAGGGUUCCUGUCCAACGUUAAUCGGGGCAGGGUGAGUCGACCCCUAAGGCGAGGCCGAAAGGCGUAGUCGAUGGGAAACAGGUUAAUAUUCCUGUACUUGGUGUUACUGCGAAGGGGGGACGGAGAAGGCUAUGUUGGCCGGGCGACGGUUGUCCCGGUUUAAGCGUGUAGGCUGGUUUUCCAGGCAAAUCCGGAAAAUCAAGGCUGAGGCGUGAUGACGAGGCACUACGGUGCUGAAGCAACAAAUGCCCUGCUUCCAGGAAAAGCCUCUAAGCAUCAGGUAACAUCAAAUCGUACCCCAAACCGACACAGGUGGUCAGGUAGAGAAUACCAAGGCGCUUGAGAGAACUCGGGUGAAGGAACUAGGCAAAAUGGUGCCGUAACUUCGGGAGAAGGCACGCUGAUAUGUAGGUGAAGCGACUUGCUCGUGGAGCUGAAAUCAGUCGAAGAUACCAGCUGGCUGCAACUGUUUAUUAAAAACACAGCACUGUGCAAACACGAAAGUGGACGUAUACGGUGUGACGCCUGCCCGGUGCCGGAAGGUUAAUUGAUGGGGUUAGCGGUAACGCGAAGCUCUUGAUCGAAGCCCCGGUAAACGGCGGCCGUAACUAUAACGGUCCUAAGGUAGCGAAAUUCCUUGUCGGGUAAGUUCCGACCUGCACGAAUGGCGUAAUGAUGGCCAGGCUGUCUCCACCCGAGACUCAGUGAAAUUGAACUCGCUGUGAAGAUGCAGUGUACCCGCGGCAAGACGGAAAGACCCCGUGAACCUUUACUAUAGCUUGACACUGAACAUUGAGCCUUGAUGUGUAGGAUAGGUGGGAGGCUUUGAAGUGUGGACGCCAGUCUGCAUGGAGCCGACCUUGAAAUACCACCCUUUAAUGUUUGAUGUUCUAACGUUGGCCCGUUAUCCGGGUUGCGGACAGUGUCUGGUGGGUAGUUUGACUGGGGCGGUCUCCUCCUAAAGAGUAACGGAGGAGCACGAAGGUUGGCUAAUCCUGGUCGGACAUCAGGAGGUUAGUGCAAUGGCAUAAGCCAGCUUGACUGCGAGCGUGACGGCGCGAGCAGGUGCGAAAGCAGGUCAUAGUGAUCCGGUGGUUCUGAAUGGAAGGGCCAUCGCUCAACGGAUAAAAGGUACUCCGGGGAUAACAGGCUGAUACCGCCCAAGAGUUCAUAUCGACGGCGGUGUUUGGCACCUCGAUGUCGGCUCAUCACAUCCUGGGGCUGAAGUAGGUCCCAAGGGUAUGGCUGUUCGCCAUUUAAAGUGGUACGCGAGCUGGGUUUAGAACGUCGUGAGACAGUUCGGUCCCUAUCUGCCGUGGGCGCUGGAGAACUGAGGGGGGCUGCUCCUAGUACGAGAGGACCGGAGUGGACGCAUCACUGGUGUUCGGGUUGUCAUGCCAAUGGCACUGCCCGGUAGCUAAAUGCGGAAGAGAUAAGUGCUGAAAGCAUCUAAGCACGAAACUUGCCCCGAGAUGAGUUCUCCCUGACUCCCUGAGAGUCCUGAAGGAACGUUGAAGACGACGACGUUGAUAGGCCGGGUGUGUAAGCGCAGCGAUGCGUUGAGCUAACCGGUACUAAUGAACCGUGAGGCUUAACCUU
rnacentral:rRNA from 1 species